rnacentral:rRNA from 1 species
UAAGGAAUAUUGGUCAAUGGACGCAAGUCUGAACCAGCCAUGCCGCGUGAAGGAUGAAGGUCCUCUGGAUUGUAAACUUCUUUUAUAUGGGACGAAAAAAGGGUUUUCCAACUCACUUGACGGUACCAUAUGAAUAAGCACCGGCUAACUCCGUGCCAGCAGCCGCGGUAAUACGGAGGGUGCAAGCGUUAUCCGGAUUCACUGGGUUUAAAGGGUGCGUAGGCGGGCAUUUAAGUCAGUGGUGAAAUCUCCGAGCUUAACUCGGAAACUGCCAUUGAUACUAUUUGUCUUGAAUACUCUGGAGGUAAGCGGAAUAUGUCAUGUAGCGGUGAAAUGCUUAGAUAUGACAUAGAACACCAAUUGCGAAGGCAGCUUACUACGGGGACAUUGACGCUGAGGC